rnacentral:rRNA from 1 species
UACGAAGGGGGCUAGCGUUGCUCGGAAUCACUGGGCGUAAAGGGUGCGUAGGCGGGUCUUUUAGGCAGGGGGGAAAUCCUGGAGCUCAACUCCAGAACUGCCUUUGAUACUGAAGAUCUUGAGUUCGGGAGAGGUGAGUGGAACUGCGAGUGUAGAGGUGAAAUUCGUAGAUAUUCGCAAGAACACCAGUGGCGAAGGCGGCUCACUGGCCCGAUACUGACGCUGAGGCACGAAAGCGUGGGGAGCAAACAGG